AGUGAACGCUGGCGGUAGGCCUAACACAUGCAAGUCGAACGGCAGCACAGUAAGCGCUCGCUCGUACGGGUGGCGAGUGGCGGACGGGUGAGGAAUACAUCGGAAUCUACUUUUUCGUGGGGGAUAACGUAGGGAAACUUACGCUAAUACCGCAUACGACCUACGGGUGAAAGCAGGGGAUCUUCGGACCUUGCGCGAUCGAAUGAGCCGAUGUCGGAUUAGCUAGUUGGCGGGGUAAAGGCCCACCAAGGCGACGAUCCGUAGCUGGUCUGAGAGGAUGAUCAGCCACACUGGAACUGAGACACGGUCCAGACUCCUACGGGAGGCAGCAGUGGGGAAUAUUGGACAAUGGGCGAAAGCCUGAUCCAGCCAUACCGCGUGGGUGAAGAAGGCCUUCGGGUUGUAAAGCCCUUUUGUUGGGAAAGAAAAGCAGCAGGUUAAUACCCCGCUGUUCUGACGGUACCCAAAGAAUAAGCACCGGCUAACUUCGUG
rnacentral:rRNA from 1 species